UACGUAGGGGGCAAGCGUUGUCCGGAUUUAUUGGGCGUAAAGAGCGUGUAGGCGGCCGCACAGGUCCGUUGUGAAAACUGGAGGCUUAACCUUCAGACGUCGAUGGAAACUGUGCGGCUAGAGUCCGGAAGAGGAGAAUGGAAUUCCUGGUGUAGCGGUGAAAUGCGCAGAUAUCAGGAAGAACACCCGUGGCUAAGGCGGUUCUCUAGUACGGUACUGACGCUGAGACGCGAAAGCGUGGGGAGCGAACAGG
rnacentral:rRNA from 1 species